CCCUUAGAUGUUCUGGGCCGCACGCGUGCUACACUGAGUGGAUCAGCGGGUCAGGUUACGCGAGAGCGUUUCCUAAUCUUUAAAUCCGCUCGUGAUGGGGAUUGACGGUUGCAAUUUUCUGUCAUGAACGAGGAAUACCUUGUAAGCGCGGGUCAUCAUCCCGCGCUGAAUACGUCCCUGCCCUUUGUACACACCGCCCGUCGCUCCUACCGAUUGAGUGGUCCGGUGAGGCUUUGGGAUCUGAGCGGAAAGAGCGUUUCGCUGUUUCUGCUCGGAAAACUCAGUCGAACCUUAUCAUUUAGAGGAAGGAGAAGUCGUAACA
rnacentral:rRNA from 1 species